GUCCGUAUCGAUUAGUGGUCAAAUCAUCUCGUUGUGGUUCAUUCGCAUCCGAGAAGCCGCAGGCUCGAAUCCUGCUACGGACA